CACACUUGAUCUUGUCUGGCAAGCUCUAUUGCUCUCAGAGAGUGUUGUUGCUCUUCUGGCUGUUCAACAAGAUUGGUGUCCCAUAGAUUGGCUUAGGGCUCCCCAGCACUGCUGGCUGUCCGUGCCUUCUGUUGCUCCCAGUCAGCACGGCUCUGUUCUUUGCUUUUUGAGUUCCAGAGCGUUUGCUACGGUUAUGGAGUGUUCCCCUUGUCUCUCUUCUUGUCUUCCAUGUUGCCCGUUGGCGCCUCGGUGGAGUUUCAGUGACGCAAAUGCAGACUGCUCUGCGUUGACCAAGUGUGACGCCAAAAGAAGAGGACUGGAGACUGCACCACCAGAUGCCGUUGUCAUUCCUGACCUCCCUGGGUUGUGGCGUUGGACGUGCCCUGAUCCUUGGAAAGGGGUAAGAGAUCUGUAUUUCUUUAUCAGAAGGUGAUCUCUACUUACCUUGUCUUGUGUCCAUCAGGUGGCAGUGGAGUGUUGUGACCCUCUGGAGCGGUGCAAGGACUCUACUGAGGCUCUUGGUGGACACAGCAAGAACCCACAGCCAGAGACGGACGCCAAGAUCUGCUCCUUCCUCUCUCUGGCAAGCCCUGUUGUCUCCUGAGGUCGUUCCCACGCUUGCAGAGGUCCUAAGGGCUUGGUGUCGGUUGUCCCUUGUGCUCACCUUGCUGUCACCGGGUGUUCUUUCUUUGCCCAUCGUAGGGGUCCCCAGUUCUGAUGGGAUCUCAGCACCUUCUGCUGCUCUGAGAGAACACCGGUUUGUUCUCUUAUUUUCAGGUUCACUAUCAUUUCUUCAUGUUAUGCUGUGUUUCUCUUAGUUUCCUUUCUUUUCCAGGCUGCCAACUGAGGCCUCGUUGGAGUUUGAGUGACCCAAAUGCAGACUGCUACGCGUUGACCAAGGGUGAUGCCAAAAGAAGAGGAUUGGGGACGUCAGCACCAGAUGCCGUUGCACUUCCUGACCUCCCCGGGUUGCAGCGUUGGAAGUGCCUGGACCCUUGGAAAGGCUUAAGUGAUUCCUUCAUCACUGCCAGAAUGUAGUUUGUGUUCAUCAGGUGAUGGUGGAGAACUGCGGCCUUUUCGUCAGUGCAAAGAGUCUACUGAGGCUGUAGGUGGAGAGAACAGGAACGCAGAGCCAUGGGUGGAUGCCAAGAUCCACUCCUUCCUCUGUCUGGCAAGCUCUGUUGAUCCCUGAGGUCAUUCCCAUGCUUGCAGAGGUCCUAUGCGCUUGGUGUCGGUUGUUCCUUGCGCUCACUUGGCUUUCACUGGGUGUUGUUGCCUUGUAACCUUUUUCCCACCCUCUGUUUCCAAGCAGGAGCUCCCCUUGGCCUCCAUGUCUCGCUCUGGCCAGGCAGAUGUGGUGUGCCAACGGUACACAGAGUCCAGACCCUGAGCAGAACAACAACUGAGCAGAGAGGCU